rnacentral:rRNA from 1 species
ACCUGGUUGAUCCUGCCAGUAGUCAUAUGCUUGUCUCAAAGAUUAAGCCAUGCAUGUCUAAGUAUAAACUGCUUAUACUGUGAAACUGCGAAUGGCUCAUUAUAUCAGUUAUAGUUUAUUUGAUAGUCCCUACUACUUGGAUAACCGUAGUAAUUCUAGAGCUAAUACGUGCGCACAUCCCGACUCACGAAGGGACGUAUUUAUUAGAUAAAAGGCCGACCGGGGCAACCCGACUCGCGGUGAAUCAUGAUAACUUCACGAAUCGUACGGCCUUGUGCCGACGAUGUUUCAUUCAAAUUUCUGCCCUAUCAACUUUCGAUGGUUGGAUAGAGGCCAACCAUGGUAACGGGUGACGG